rnacentral:rRNA from 1 species
UACGAAGGGGGCUAGCGUUGCUCGGAAUCACUGGGCGUAAAGCGCACGUAGGCGGCUUCUUAAGUCAGGGGUGAAAUCCUGGAGCUCAACUCCAGAACUGCCUUCGAUACUGAGAGUCUCGAGUCCGAGAGAGGUGAGUGGAACUGCGAGUGUAGAGGUGAAAUUCGUAGAUAUUCGCAAGAACACCAGUGGCGAAGGCGGCUCACUGGCUCGGUACUGACGCUGAGAUGCGAAAGCGUGGGGAGCAAACAGG